GUCGAAAAGUCUUAAUUUACAUUUUAACUUUAAUUAAAUUACUCUAGCACAGUAGAUAUCAGUAAAGCAAUAGCACAAUAAACAAAAUAAAUAAUUCAUAUGUGGAUAAAUCUAAAGGUAAAACUGAUUUUAAAAGUAUUACACGUUCAAACACGGCCAGAAUGUGUGUGCAUUGAGAGGCACGUUUAAAUUCGGCAUCUUAACAUGAUGAAUCUGUCCGUCUAUACACAUAUGAGAAAUGGGGCUAAAACUAACACCUAAACACAGCCAGAAUGUAAUUGUCUACACAUAUAAAAUAAACAUGUUAAAAAUUGCUGCGUUGACAAAUUUCACGUGUCCCAUUUAAAGACUUUUGCCCCCAUCCACCUUCCAUACAUGAGUUCCUCCAGUAGUGGGCACUUGUGAAACGAAAACAAUGAAGUACAUCCGAGUCAAUGACAGGCUAGAAGUCAGCGAGGACAGUGCAUAAAAAGCUAUGUGGAAUUUUAGUGAACGUUUAUGAAAUUAUGAGAAAAGGGGAUUAUUGCUUUUCAGCAGCAACAAAUUAACGUGAUAUUAUUCACUACAGUGAACUCAACUCAAAUACACUGAACUGCAUGCAGUUACUUUAAGCACUAAGUAAUUAAGGACUGUUGGAUUAUAAUGCGUUAUUAUGAUUUACAUUACCAGUUUUGCCAUUCCACACCGUGACCCACAGACAGCAGCCAUGUCUUCUGGAGCAGCCCCUACAGUAGAAUCUGAUGCUGACUUUUACUAUGACUAUGAGAAUCUGCGCAUUGGAGGCCUGAUCUUUGCUGGGG
ensembl:lncRNA